GCCCCAACCAUCACCGCAUUUCUCAAGCUUCAAGACAUCCUUAUCAUAAAAGCAAUGGAAUACACCUCCAUCCCUUUGAUGGUUAACCUCAAGAUUGUCAUCAUCAACCAUGGCCUGGUCCGAGCAUGGAAUGGUUAUAAAUGCACUUAGUUCAUCAGGACAAGUUCUGUUGCCUUCCAAUGAAACACGUUUGCCUUCUUCAACCAAAGAAUAGGGAAUACAGUAUCCUUUACCACUACUACUUUUCAUAGAGUUCUCAAGAAGGCUGU
rnacentral:misc_RNA from 1 species